GAUGAACGCUAGCGGCAGGCCUAAUACAUGCAAGCCGAACGGCAAGUUUGAUAGCAAUAUUGGACCUAGAGUGGCGCAAGGGUGCGUAACACGUAUGCAACCUGCCCGCGACAGGAGGAUAGCUCCCCGAAAGGGGAAUUAACCCUCCAUAACACCAUGAGAAGGCUUCUGAUUAUGGUUAAACCGCAAGGGGUCGCGGAUGGGCAUGCGGUUGAUUAGCUAGUUGGCGGGGUAUAGGCUCACCAAGGCGGUGAUCAAUAGGGGUUCUGAGAGGGAGGUCCGCCGAGCGUGCACUGAGAUACGGGGCAGGCUCCAACGGGAGGAAGCAGUAGGGAGGCAUGGACGAUGGUUGCAAGACUGAUCCAGCCAUGCCGAGUGCAGGAAGAAGGGCUUCGGAGUCGUGAACUGCUGUUUCAUGUGGAUAAAAUACGCGUGGGCGGGGAAUUGAAGGUAACGGGGGAAUAAGCCACGGCUAACUACGUG
rnacentral:rRNA from 1 species